rnacentral:rRNA from 1 species
AAUCAACGCUGGCGGCGUGCCUAACACAUGCAAGUCGAACGAGAAAGUGGAGCAAUCCAUGAGUAAAGUGGCGACCGGGUGAGUAACACGUGACUAACCUACCCUUGAAUGGGGAAUAACCUUCCGAAAGGAGGGCUAAUACCGCAUAAAGUCCUAGGAUGAAACGCCUAAGGACCAAAGGAGCAAUUCGUUUAAGGAGGGG